rnacentral:rRNA from 1 species
UCGAGCCUACGGGGGGCAGCAGUGGGGAAUAUUGCACAAUGGGGGAAACCCUGAUGCAGCGACGCCGCGUGAGUGAAGAAGCGUUUCGGCGCGUAAAGCUCUGUCAGCGGGGAAGAAACACGGUUCGCGAGAGCCGCGGACGGUACCCGACCAAGAAGCCCCGGCUAACUACGUGCCAGCAGCCGCGGUAAUACGUAGGGGGCAAGCGUUAUCCGGAUUCACUGGGUGUAAAGGGAGCGUAGACGGCGAGACAAGUCUGGAGUGAAAGGCCGGGGCCCAACCCCGGGCCUGGUCGGGAAACGGCC